rnacentral:tRNA from 1 species
GGGUUGGCCGAGUGGUUAAGGCGUUGGACUUAAGUUCCAAUGGACAAGUGUCCGCGUGGGUUGGAACCCCCCACACCC